GGAGAGAUGGUCGAGCGGUCGAAGGCGCACGCCUGGAAAGUGUGUAUACGGCAACGUAUCAAGGGGUUGAAUCCCUUGCUCUCCG
rnacentral:tRNA from 1 species